UUACAUACGUGGACGGGGUCAAUGGGCGGUCAUGAAGGAUUAUGGCCUAGGCUGGUCACCUCCAUUGCACUUAGGAGAGGUGCCUGCCUAAGGUCGGCUCAAGUAGUCGAGCCUACGUCAUAAUUUGUGACAGUGGGGGCUUGUGUCUGCACGGCCCCUAC
rfam:Capsicum annuum cultivar Zunla-1 unplaced genomic scaffold scaffold181, whole genome shotgun sequence